AUCAUCUUGGAACAGAAUGAAAUACUUCUUCAUCGUUUUACUUGCGUUUAUCGCAUUCCAAUAUGUCAGCGUUGGUGAAGUGUUGCCAGGAAGAGAUUCUGACAGUUUGCUGCUAAGGUUUGCUGAUAGGAAUGGAACUGGUGACAGAGAAAACGUGCCAGAGUAUGUGAUGAAUGAAGAAUGUGAUGGAGUUUUGGGUGGAAUUACCUGUCUCCUCAACGGCUUGGUAGAUUCAAUACUUGGAUCGAAGUAGAACUUCAAUGCUAACUUCAUAAAUCGAAUUUGUACGAAUUUUGUUAACGACCAAGUCGAUUGUUUUAUAAAAUAAAGGAAAAUCGUAAUUAAAA